UUUUUUUUUUUUUUUUUUUUUUUUGAGACAGAGUCUCACUCUGUCACCAGGCUGGAGUGCAGUGGCACAAUCUCAGCUCAUUGCAACCUCUGCCUCCCGGGUUCAAGUGAUUCUCCUGCCUCAACCUCCCGAGUAGCUGGGACUACAGGCAUGCACCACCAUGCGCGGCUAAUUUUUGUAUUUUUAGCAGAGACGGGGUUUCACCAUUGUUGGCCAGGAUGGUCUCCAUCUUCUUGACCUCAUGAUCUGCCCGCCGUAGUCUCCCAAAGUUCUGGGAUUACAGGAGUGAGACACUGCGCCCAGCUGGCCCCUCCUUUUCUAUUUCCCAUCAACCAAAGAGGUACUUGUGGGACCAGCAUCUCUUGGGGCCAUCUCCCCAAGCCCUCACACAUUUCCCACUGUCCAGGUAGCUCUCUCAUGGCUUUCCUGUGGCCCUGGCACCUCUACCCUGAGUUUGAAAUGUAGCAGCUUUUAUAGAUGCUGCAAACUGAUUAUUUCAACUGCUCAUAAAUUAACCCGCACUCAUGAUUUAAAAAUUCCAGUGGAGGUUUCAUCACAUCUCAAUCCUGGAAAGGUGUGUUUGAAACUCAUGCAAUCCAAACAGGGACGUAGGUUUCAUUCCUUGACUAUGGAAUGGAGGGAAUGCUCUGUUACCCUUGAAAGAAGGGGAAAGGACAAAAUAUACGAUUCCUGGCUGUCCACCCCAUAUCCUACAGGCAAUGCGAGCCUCAUGAAUUACAAGGCCCCAUGACUGCAGACGGUACGGAGUGUGGGGUGGCAGGGAGUGGACCUCCGGCACUGCAUGGCCAAUGGGAAGCAGAUCAUUCAUCCCCACAGUCUCUCAGGAUUAGAUUACGCAUGCUCUUCUGCUUUUAGAGUAUUCCAGAAGCCUUCAUGCCCUCCAUCAUCUCUACAGUGACUACUCUUCAGUAGAUACUGCGGCACUGGAUGGGGAAAAAGAUGAUUCAGGACCUGGGCCAGGUGACCUGGGGGUGGGAAUUAGUCCCCUUUCCUGUUCUCUGCAGCAUGGUGAAGCCUAUGUGGCAGUAACAUGACACCGCAAGUCACACUAACUGGUUACGUGUGACUGAGAGCAGGGACUAAAGCAGGGUAAAGGGGGCCUAAACCCCCCACUCUCCUAGUGAGCCCACAGGAGCUCCUCAGUCCUGAGCCCCACGCAGAUGGGCUGAGUCCCCCAGCAGCCUGGGCUAUGCCCACAGGGCGGGAGUGGCUCCCACAGCUCAGACCACUACGCUUGAUAGACUGCAGAGCCAGCUUUUGUCCCAGGUCACCCGCCAGCACAGCAAGGCCACGACUCCUCCUCCUGUUGGAUGGCUGGUCACAGCUGCUGGGUGGCCCUCUCCUAAUGCCAUCAAGGAACAGUUUUUAUACCACAGGACAGUAAAGAAGCCCAGAUAGGGGUUUUCUGGAAGCUCCCCAUGAAGGCUGAGCUGGCC
rnacentral:lncRNA from 1 species